rnacentral:lncRNA from 1 species
GGCAAAUUUUGGAUGGAAGAAGAACACUUUAGUCCGGCAUUGUGAAGUAAAAAAAAGAUUCCAAAAACCAAGGACAUGUAAAAACUUAUUUUAUUUUGUUUAUUUCUUAUCAAAUUAGUAUUUUAUUUAUCUAUAGCAAACUAACAUUUGCUCUGGCAGGCUUCCAACUUCAUAAAGUUCUAUUAUCAGCACUGUAAACAUAUAUAAUAUCUAUUUAAAUUUUGUAGGCUAUAUAUCAAAUAAAUAAGUUAACUUAUUAUCUGUC